UUUUAGCCCUGAUAGGAACGGCAUCCUUUUGUGGCGGGGUUCGCCAUAAAAGAUAGAGUGUAUAGCAGGAAAUAGC
rnacentral:sRNA from 1 species